CCUACGGGGGGCUGCAGUGGGGAAUUUUGGACAAUGGGCGCAAGCCUGAUCCAGCCAUGCCGCGUGCGGGAAGAAGGCCUUCGGGUUGUAAACCGCUUUUGUCAGGGAAGAAAUCUUCUGGGUUAAUACCUCGGGAGGAUGACGGUACCUGAAGAAUAAGCACCGGCUAACUACGUGCCAGCAGCCGCGGUAAUACGUAGGGUGCGAGCGUUAAUCGGAAUUACUGGGCGUUAAGCGAGGACAGGUGGUUAAUCCCCGGGCUCAACCUGGGAACUGCAUUUGUGACUGCAUGGCUGGAGUGCGGCAGAGGGGGAUGGAAUUCCGCGUGUAGCAGUGAAAUGCGUAGAUAUGCGGAGGAACACCGAUGGCGAAGGCAAUCCCCUGGGCCUGCACUGACGCUCAUGCACGAAAGCGUGGGGAGCAAACAGGAUUAGAUACCCCGGUAGUC
rnacentral:rRNA from 1 species